UCAGGCAAGAGUGGAGCACAGAGGAAAGAGGUGUCUUUCUCAAGAGAGACGCAAACUGCAGGUCAAGGUGCAUCACCAGCCACGAACAGGCAGCUUCCGAAUCAAGUAGGAGGGAAAUGGUUCCUUCCUCCAAAGACUCUUAAAAGAGAAGCCCCUGCUGCAGAAUAGAAAGAGGCUCCGGAGGAGCAGUGAGCUCGGGGAACCCCCCUGAAGAUCCCCAGUUUCUGUGUGCAGCUGCCUCAGGCCCAGACACAUUCUUCCAUCUGGAGCAUGUCCCCACAGAUCUUCCCGGCCGCGGCUGUGGUCCGCGUUAUCUCAGGCUGUCAGGUCUCAGAAAUUAGAAACCAUCUCAUCUCAUCAGGGUCAUCCCACACCGUCUGCCACCAUAGAUGGAGAGGAUUUCAUGUGAUGUUUUCUGAAGAUGAUUCUGUUGUCCCAGGAGAGCCCUUGAUGGGCGUGGCAGCCUUUGAGCCUGUGCAGCCAGGUGGUUUAUUCUCCCAGUGACUUUCCAACCAGAUACUCUCAGUCAGAGUGAAGGGCUCCACUUACAAACUCCCUUUCCCAUUAACUCGUCAGAGUUAUGCCAUUCAUCUUUAUUCUUUUUAAAAUAUUUAUACUCAAAGAAAUUGUAUGAGGAGUGAGCACACACCAAUCAUGUAACUGUCAAAUGAAAGCCUUUCCUUAAAUGUUCAAGGGCACUGGAGUAAUACAUUUGGAGUCAUGCAGA